GAUUCCAAAUGAAAUAGUAAUCAACAACAAAGUUGUAUAACUCAUCAAUGUCUACAAAUUUUGUUUUGGUCAUUUCUUCAUCGGACAAAGUGAUAGUAACAUUUUUCAUAAAAUUGACAUCUCUCUCAUAUAGUUUAUGAAACCAUAUAAGAGGUGUGUAGGAUUUGUAAACAAUUUAACCAUCACUUUGUCGGAUGAACGAAUGACCAAAACAAAAGUUGUAGACAUUGACGAGUUAUAUAAACUUUGUUGUUGUUGACUUUUUUAUUUGAAAUC
rnacentral:pre_miRNA from 1 species